UUUGCCCUACGGGGCGCAGCAGUGGGGAAUAUUGCACAAUGGGGGAAACCCUGAUGCAGCAACGCCGCGUGAGUGAAGAAGUCAUUCGUGAUGUAAAGCUCUAUCAGCAGGGAAGAAAAUGACGGUACCUGAGUAAGAAGCCCCGGCUAACUACGUGCCAGCAGCCGCGGUAAUACGUAGGGUGCGAGCGUUAAUCGGAAUUACUGGGCGUAAAGGGUGCGCAGGCGGUUGAGUAAGACAGAUGUGAAAUCCCCGAGCUUAACUCGGGAAUGGCAUAUGUGACUGCUCGACUAGAGUGUGUCAGG
rnacentral:rRNA from 1 species